GAAAAGAAAAAAGAAUGAAGGAAGGAAGAUUUUAUUCUAGUGUCUUACCUUCUUUUUAAACACACAGGCUUUGCUGGGGCAGAUUCUUCAACUCAGAGAACUAAUUUUCCCACACCUCUCCUCAACAUAUAUCUACAGGCUUUCUUUCUACAAAAAAGGACUGGAGAUGUCACCUGACAGUGACAUCUGUGACUAUGAGAUCCAUAAUCCUUACAGGAGAUUAUGUUGUCUGCCUGGAAGCUCUCACUUUUGAGGUUUGGUUGUUGGAUGGCAGAGCUGCUGAUUCUGAUAAUAACUCAAAUCUGUUGGGAUUGUGAGGAAGUCAGAGUACUCUUAUUUCAGGUCUAGUGAAUGUGCUGAGUAACAACUGGUGUUUCUAAGAGUUACUCUUUCAUUGGUUUGGUUUUAAGGAUUGCUUACUACAUCUGAGAUUUUGCUACAUCCAGCAAUUUUCAUUGUUAUCAUCCCCACUGGAGCUACGACUCUCUCCAACAUACGCAUUUUCUCUGGCUAUAUAAUGACUCCUCGGCUUUAAGAGCAUUUCAUCAGCAGUGUUUUAACUACUGCAAAUACCAUAAAGAUGAGCAGCUCUGUGCCUGUGUGGCUUCUGAGUUGUUCAAGUGUGGUUCCUGUGCUGAAGCUGUGCCAUAUGACUGCUGAGGAGACUGUUGGUACCUGGCCAAGUGGAGCAGAACCAGGAGGAGCUGCUGGGGCUGGUAUUUGCUGGAACUUGGAUUCACUGUCAACUGACUUGGAUGACUCCUGGAUCUGACAGCUGACAUUAAGUGAAUACUGCCAUCUCCUGCUUGUAAAAUGCCCAGGAUCACCUGCACCCUUCAGCUCUCCGUGGCGUGAAUGGAUGUUUGGGUAUUAGCUUCUGCAGCUGGGGAAAUUGGCUGCUUGGUUCUUGCUUUUGGCACUGUUCACAUAAUAUCAAAAGCAGUUUCAACAUGAAACAUUGAAGACUUUAAAGAAGAAGACCUUAAAAUAAUGUAUGGUAGAGAUACCAUGGUGUGAUCAAUAAACAUUCUACUAUUCUCAUUCAUUUACUA